rnacentral:rRNA from 1 species
CCUACGGGAGGCAGCAGUGAGGAAUAUUGGUCAAUGGGAGAAAUCCUGAACCAGCCAAGCCGCGUGAGGGAAGACGGCCCUAUGAGUUGUAAACCUCUUUUGUCGGAGAACAAAACCCGGGACGUGUACCGGACUGCGUGUAUCCGACGAAAAAGCAUCGGCUAACUCCGUGCCAGCAGCCGCGGUAAUACGGAGGAUGCGAGCGUUAUCCGGAUUUAUUGGGUUUAAAGGGUGCGUAGGCGGUCCGUUAAGUCAGCGGGAAAAUUGCGGGGCUCAACCCCGUCGAGCCGGUGAAACUGGCAGACUUGAGGUGGCGAGAAGCACGCGGAAUGCGCGGUGUAGCGGUGAAAUGCAUAGAUAUUGCGCAGAACUCCGAUUGCGAAGGCAGCGUACCGGCGCCAGACUGACGCUGAGGCACGAAAGCGUGGGGAUCGAACAGGAUUAGAUACCCCGGUAGUC